UACGAAGGGGGCUAGCGUUGCUCGGAAUUACUGGGCGUAAAGCGCACGUAGGCGGCUUUUUAAGUCGGAGGUGAAAUCCUGGAGCUCAACUCCAGAACUGCCUUCGAUACUGGAGAGCUUGAGUUCGGGAGAGGUGAGUGGAACUGCGAGUGUAGAGGUGAAAUUCGUAGAUAUUCGCAAGAACACCAGUGGCGAAGGCGGCUCACUGGCCCGAUACUGACGCUGAGGCACGAAAGCGUGGGGAGCAAACAGG
rnacentral:rRNA from 1 species